UUUGGAAUUUUGGACAAUGGGCGAAAGCCUGAUCCAGCGACGCCGCGUGGACGAUGAAGGUCUUCGGAUCGUAAAGUCCUUUUAGCAGGGAACAAUUUUUGAGCGUACCUGCAGAAUAAGAGGUUGCUAACUCUGUGCCAGCAGCAGCGGUAAUACAGAGACCUCAAGCGUUAUCCGGAAUCAUUGGGCGUAAAGCGUGCCGAUAGGUGGUUUUACAAGUCAGAAGUGAAAUCUCAAGGCUUAACCUUGAGACUGUCUUUUGAAACUGUAAAACUAGAGGGGCAAAGAGGAAGCUGGAACGAACGGUGUAGUAGUGAAAUGCGUUGAUAUCGUUCGGAACACCAAUAGCGUAGGCAGGCUUCUGGGUGCCACCUGACACUGCUAGGACGAAAGCGUGGGGAGCGAAUGGG
rnacentral:rRNA from 1 species